ACUUGGCUUGUUUAACGGUAUUGUGUAUUUCUGGCUUCCUUGAUCUCGGCUAUCCCUUGACCAUUCUCUGUCUUUAACAUAUUAGUCCGGCCAUUCUAAGGACCGGUUUACGUUCUGUCUUUUUCCGUUCUAUGUAGAUGUUACAUAGUUCUGCGUGCUGGACCAAACUAGCUGUGACAUUACGACAGGGCCAUGGAUCCUGCAGAAUUAUGUAAGCAUAUGAUAGCUUGUGAGGGCAGAGUGGAGGAUGUAGACCACAGGUUGGAUCAAUUUGGUCAUGCAUUCCAGACCAAAGAAUGGCUCAUCUUGAGUCGCCUCCAGUACAGCCGGUUGCUCCUCCACCAGUGACUACUAUCUACAAACCCCCCUCCAUAACUCUUUCUCCUCCUCCUCAUUUUGGAAGUGAUCCUAAAGAAUGUAGGGGGUUUCUCAACCAAAUAGAAUAUCAUUUUG